CUUCCAUGGCGCGAUGAAGGAGUUGCCGCCGGUGUAAGCGUACAAAUUCCAUCGAGACCGGGGGCUGGGCUCUUCCUUCUGUCCACGAGUAGGCUGAAGCCUGAAGCUAGGUUUCUCGGGCUUGUUUUGUGGUAAUUGGUGCUUGGCAGGAUUCUUUGUCGCUGCAACCAGCUCGUGAGAUUGUCGAAAUGCCGCGGCCUUCGCAAGGAAUUUCCCAAGGAAAUUUCUGUGUCGCAAUAUCUUCUAGCGACGUGAACGGGACAAGAGUCGAACGAAGUACAUUCUUCCGUAGCCUGUGUUGCGAUCAUCGGAAUAUGCAGGGCUCUAGACGGUUGCAUCGAAAACUGUUCUUUGACAACAUUGACCCGUGAAACCAGUCUCUUAUGAUCAUGGUUUCAUGCUUCGUGAACACCUCCCACUACGAAGAAUAUCUCUCUGUGAAGGAGUUUGCACCUGCGCAGCAUGUAUUUGCAGGUCCCGGCUGGUAGGCCAUCUUUCAAGUCAGUCCUGCUCUCAAGUCAAGUGUUUUAAACUGAAUCACAAAAAAAGUCUGCCUUAACCAGCUUCGAUUUACCUCCUGCUUGGAUCUCUCGCAGCUCUGAUGAAGCAACUCCUUUUCAACCUUGAUCCAGCUAAGUUCCUCGGACAGCUGUUGAUACAUAUUUCCGACAGUCUGCAACAUGAAAAAGAAGAAAAUCUAGGUGA